CAAGAUGUAGCUUAAACAAAGCAUCUAGUUUACACCCAGAAGAUUCCACAGUCCGUGUACAUCUUGA
rnacentral:tRNA from 1 species